UACGGAGGGGACUAGCGUUUUUCGGAAUUACUGGGCGUAAAGCGCGCGUAGGCGGAUUUGCAAGUCGGGGGUGAAAUCCCGAGGCUCAACCUCGGAACUGCCUUCGAUACUGCAAAUCUCGAGUCCGGAAGAGGUGAGUGGAAUUCCUAGUGUAGAGGUGAAAUUCGUAGAUAUUAGGAAGAACACCAGUGGCGAAGGCGGCUCACUGGUCCGGUACUGACGCUGAGGCGCGAAAGCGUGGGGAGCAAACAGG
rnacentral:rRNA from 1 species